UGGGGAAUUUUGGACAAUGGGGGAAACCCUGAUCAAGCCAUCCCGCGUGUGCGAUGAAGGCCUUCGGGUUGUAAAGCACUUUUGGCAGGAAAGAAACGUCAUGGGUUAAUACCCCGUGAAACUGACGGUACCUGCAGAAUAAGCACCGGCUAACUACGUGCCAGCAGCCGCGGUAAUACGUAGGGUGCAAGCGUUAAUCGGAAUUACUGGGCGUAAAGCGUGCGCAGGCGGUUCGGAAAGAAAGAUGUGAAAUCCCAGAGCUCAACUUUGGAACUGCAUUUUUAACUACCGGGCUAGAGUGUGUCAGAGGGAGGUGGAAUUCCGCGUGUAGCAGUGAAAUGCGUAGAUAUGCGGAGGAACACCGAUGGCGAAGGCAGCCGCCUGGGAUAACACUGACGCUCAUGCACGAAAGCGUGGGGAGCAAACAGG
rnacentral:rRNA from 1 species